GUAGUCCACGCCCUAAACGAUGUCAACUAGGUGUUGGGGGAGGAGACUUCCUUAGUACCGCAGCUAACGCGUGAAGUUGACCGCCUGGGGAGUACGGUCGCAAGAUUAAAACUCAAAGGAAUUGACGGGGACCCGCACAAGCGGUGGAUUAUGUGGAUUAAUUCGAUGCAACGCGAAAAACCUUACCUACCCUUGACAUGCCAAGAACUUGCCAGAGAUGGCUUGGUGCCCGAAAGGGAGCUUGGACACAGGUGCUGCAUGGCUGUCGUCAGCUCGUGUCGUGAGAUGUUGGGUUAAGUCCCGCAACGAGCGCAACCCUUGUCAUUAAUUGCCAUCAUUUAGUUGGGCACUUUAAUGAGACUGCCGGUGACAAACCGGA
rnacentral:rRNA from 1 species